rnacentral:rRNA from 1 species
UAUCCAAGGUUUCUCCGGUUUGGUGACCAGCGGAGGGAUCAUUACCGAGUUAUACAACUCCCAAACCCACUGUGAACCUUACCUCAGUUGCCUCGGCGGGAACGCCCCGGCCGCCUGCCCCCGCGCCGGCGCCGGACCCAGGCGCCCGCCGCAGGGACCCCAAACUCUCUUGCAUUACGCCCAGCGGGCGGAAUUUCUUCUCUGAGUUGCACAAGCAAAAACAAAUGAAUCAAAACUUUCAACAACGGAUCUCUUGGUUCUGGCAUCGAUGAAGAACGCAGCGAAAUGCGAUAAGUAAUGUGAAUUGCAGAAUUCAGUGAAUCAUCGAAUCUUUGAACGCACAUUGCGCCCGCCAGCAUUCUGGCGGGCAUGCCUGUUCGAGCGUCAUUUCAACCCUCGAGCCCCCCCCGGGGGCCUCGGUGUUGGGGGACGGCACACCAGCCGCCCCCGAAAUGCAGUGGCGACCCCGCCGCAGCCUCCCCUGCGUAGUAGCACACACCUCGCACCGGAGCGCGGAGGCGGUCACGCCGUAAAACGCCCAACUUUCUUAGAGUUGACCUCGGAUCAGGUAGGAAUACCCGCUGAACUUAAGCAUAUCAAUAAGCGGAGGAAAAGAAACCAACAGGGAUUGCCCCAAACA